AGCAUUUUGUAAACAAUGAAUUAAAAUUACAAUUUAUGUCUUAAUUAGACAGAAGUAACUGACAAAUAGGACCUUUUUGAAACCCCCAUUUAAUAGCAGUCCUAAAUAUGAUUUAAAAAGUUUAAUAUCAGUCCGUUGAAGCAAAGAAAGUGGAAAAUCCUCAACCGUUAAUUGGUCCAGAUGCUAAUGGACAUCAAGAUCAAUUUACUCAGACCACUUGACAAAGUCUCCAACUGGGCAUUGAGUGUGGCCAACAGCCAUUUCCGGGAUUUUUCUAAAAAAAUCGCGCCAGUCGUUUUCUCACAACUCUAAAUGAAUCUGCGAUUUCAAAUUCCGUCGCGAAAAUUUCUUUAGAAAAUUUCGAUUUUUAUUCCGU